CAACUCUCAACAACGGAUAUCUUGGCUCUCGCAACGAUGAAGAACGCAGCGAAAUGCGAUACGUAGUGUGAAUUGCAGAAUUCCGUGAAUCAUCAAAUCUUUGAACGCAUAUUGCACUCGAGGCUUCGGCCGAGAGUAUGUCUGCCUCAGCAUCG
rnacentral:rRNA from 1 species